rnacentral:rRNA from 1 species
ACGGGGUCUAAUACCGGAUAACACCUUCCUCUGCAUAGGGGUUGGUUAAAAGCUCCGGCGGUGAAGGAUGAGCCCGCGGCCUAUCAGCUUGUUGGUGGGGUAAUGGCCUACCAAGGCGACGACGGGUAGCCGGCCUGAGAGGGCGACCGGCCACACUGGGACUGAGACACGGCCCAGACUCCUACGGGAGGCAGCAGUGGGGAAUAUUGCACAAUGGGCGAAAGCCUGAUGCAGCGACGCCGCGUGAGGGAUGACGGCCUUCGGGUUGUAAACCUCUUUCAGCAGGGAAGAAGCGAAAGUGACGGUACCUGCAGAAGAAGCGCCGGCUAACUACGUGCCAGCAGCCGCGGUAAUACGUAGGGCGCAAGCGUUGUCCGGAAUUAUUGGGCGUAAAGAGCUCGUAGGCGGCUUGUCACGUCGGAUGUGAAAGCCCGGGGCUUAACCCCGGGUCUGCAUUCGAUACGGGCUAGCUAGAGUGUGGUAGGGGAGAUCGGAAUUCCUGGUGUAGCGGUGAAAUGCGCAGAUAUCAGGAGGAACACCGGUGGCGAAGGCGGAUCUCUGGGCCAUUACUGACGCUGAGGAGCGAAAGCGUGGGGAGCGAACAGGAUUAGAUACCCUGGUAGUCCACGCCGUAAACGUUGGGAACUAGGUGUUGGCGACAUUCCACGUCGUCGGUGCCGCAGCUAACGCAUUAAGUUC